GACGAACGCUGGCGGCGUGCUUAACACAUGCAAGUCGAACGGAAAGGCCCUGCUUUUGUGGGGUGCUCGAGUGGCGAACGGGUGAGUAGCACGUGAGUAACCUUCCCUUGACUUUGGGAUAACUUCAGGAAACUGGGGCUAAUACCGGAUAGGAGCUCCUGCUGCAUGGUGGGGGUUGGAAAGUUUCGGCGGUUGGGGAUGGACUCGCGGCUUAUCAGCUUGUUGGUGGGGUAGUGGCUUACCAAGGCUUUGACGGGUAGCCGGCAUGAGAGGGUGACCGGCCACAUUGGGACUGAGAUACGGACCAGACUCCUACGGGAGGCAGCAGUGGGGAAUAUUGCACAAUGGGCGGAAGCCUGAUGCAGCAACGCCGCGUGCGGGAUGACGGCCUUCGGGUUGUAAACCGCUUUCGCCUGUGACGAAGCGUGAGUGACGGUAAUGGGUAAAGAAGCACCGGCUAACUACGUG
rnacentral:rRNA from 1 species